UCCAUGACCGGAAGUGAAACGAAAGGAAACGCGUGGCGAUACGAAGGAAAGAGAGUUUAUUAGGGUUCGCGUUCUUCUCUCCUCCGCUUUCUCCACCUCUCUUCUCCUCGUUGCGAUCUAGUCGCGAGGAACCGGGAGGGGAUCUCUCAAUAAGCUAGUCGCCUGGUCUCUCGCCCUUCAGAAAAAUCGGCAGGUGGCAGCAGCUUCACGGGUACCAGGUCUAUACCCCUAGGCGUUUCAUCCUGCCGCUCCCCUUUUAUUGGCCUUCUCCUAAUUUCAAGAUCGGAAGCUUUAAAUGCUUGGGAACCUGGCCUAGAGCAGGGCGCUGAAUUGAUGAGCGAGCAUGGGAUAAAUGUGCCAAAGGGAAUCGCUGCUUCAUCUGUUGAAGAGGCUAAAGAUGUUGCUCGAUCUGUUUUCCCAACGAGAAAGAGAGAUUGUGGUCAAAAGCCAAAUCCUUGCUGGUGGCAGAGGCUUGGGAGCCUUCAAAAGUGGACUCAAGGGUGGAGAAGGUUGCCGCUGCCAACGCCGAUCUGAGUUAUAUUGGUCUUGAUGGAGAAAUCGGGUGCAUGGUCAAUGGUGGAUUGGCAAUGACUAUGAUGGAUAUAAUACGACCGCAAGGUGGUACACCUGCUAAUUUACUUGAUGUUGGUGGCGAUGCAUCGGAAAGCCAGGUUGUACACGUUUCAUAUUCUAACAUCCAAUGACAAAGUGGAGGCAAUUUUGGUCAACAUAUUUGGAGGGAUUAGAAAUGCAAUUUGAUAGCAAGUGGAAUUGUCAAUGCACCCAAACAGGUACUAAUCUGGCUUCUGACUGACAUCGUUGUCUUUCAACUUCCAUUAACAUAAUCUUUUAUAGCUUUAAGUGCUUUAUAUGGACUCUAUUUCCUUAUUAGUUUCACUCCUUAAAUGUACAAUUUCUUUGGACAUCAUUUGUUUUCAGAAAACUUCUCUGUUACAUGCUAAAAUCUUCAUUAUGCUAAAAUCUUCAUUACGCUCCAAAGUCAUCUGAUUGGAUCCUCCAAUAGAUAUUCAUCUAGAACAUGAAUCAACUCAGGUUAGAGCUUGACUGGACCCCUUUUUUUUUUUUGCUUUAUAUGGUAAUAGCAUAAUUCUUUACAAAGUUUUAGAAACAUUGUGAAUAAAUAAAUUCAUUGUCACACAAUUUUAUGAUUUUGGGGAUAUGAUUAAUAUAUGUCUGGUCGAGGGAUGGUUAACCCUGGGUGCAACAUUAAGCUCAUUUCUUUUACACUAGAUGAACUUAUAGGUGAAUAACUAGAAUUACUCAUCUUGGUUAUACUGGUGUUAGAUUAGCAUUACUUACUAAUAUGUUAUUCAUUGUGAAGUGAAUAAUGGUUAAAAUUGUCAAAAAAAUAAGGGAUAAAUCAUGUGAUGCCCUUAUCAUUAGCAUUCAUAAAUGAAGGAAUUUAUGCAGAGAACAAUUUCAAUGAAGAGGAAAUAUAAAGUGAUGCCCUUAAGAUUUUUGACAAGAUUCCAAGGGCAAUCAAUUUCUUUUCUAUGACAAGAUAACAAAGAUUUGUGAUGAAGUUGUAUAGAUCAUUUAAUGACAGGCGGUAUAUGCGACCAAGGGAUACCAUCUUAGUUUUAGUGAGAUGGGUUAUGAGAAUAGAAGUAAUAUCACUAGGAUUUUUGUUCUUGGUGGUGACUGAAUCAAGUAUGACAUAAUACUCCAAAACUGAGACAGUUAAGAUGGAUACGCUGUAACAUUUUCUAAUAAAUAUAGCUGAGGAGCUUAGGACCUACAACAGAUGAAGAGAGGCUGAAAAGUAUAUUGGAUAGUAGAGAUACGUGAUUUUGUCUUCCAAUGAGCAGAGUUAUUUGAAAGAGUUUUGAAGGAUGUACCUAAAAUGCUGAAACAGUUUUGGAGGAUGAACAAAGAUGAGGCAAAGAUCUAUAUAAACAAGGGGAAAGACCAUGAGAAGCAAAACAUGUAAUGACAACAGAGGUUAUUGUUGAUAAGGCCAUCUCGAGUAAAGAUUACUGAGUUCAAACCAGAAGUAUGCACAAUGUGUAGCCUUAUAUUUUCAUUGUGUUUUUUCCUCUAUCUCAUUCCUCAAGUUUGACAAUGAGAGGAUUGAGAAAAGGAUUUCAUAAUGAGAGAUUAAAUUUUUAUUUUUUAUCUAUUUUUUUAAAAAAAUUUGAUAUAUAUAUAUAUAUAUAUAUAUAUGGUUCCGGACUGUCAGGCAACGAUUAUGGGCCUUCAGCGUUGUCGUAAGGCCUAGGCCAACGUAGCUAUCGUCCGUCGCCGUGUAGACUGCGUGCACCGACUGUCACUGUGCAGCGUUGUCGAAAGGCCAACGGCAACAUAGCUAUCGUCGUUUCGGCAUUUAAAGAUGCAUCUGUGCUUACGCAAGACGACACACGGCGGUCCUGUUAAGAGCUGUCGGGGCAUUUAAG